rnacentral:rRNA from 1 species
UACGUAGGGUGCAAGCGUUAUCCGGAAUUAUUGGGCGUAAAGAGCUCGUAGGCGGUUUGUCACGUCUGCUGUGAAAACUGGAGGCUCAACCUCCAGCCUGCAGUGGGUACGGGCGAGACUAGAGUGCGGUAGGGGAGAUUGGAAUUCCUGGUGUAGCGGUGGAAUGCGCAGAUAUCAGGAGGAACACCGAUGGCGAAGGCAGAUCUCUGGGCCGUAACUGACGCUGAGGAGCGAAAGCAUGGGGAGCGAACAGG